UUUUAUUUAGUGGAUUAGUGGAAUUCUUGAAGCUUGAUGCCUGAACUGCAGAUCUUCUGAUUCUAAAGUGAUUGAUGGUGCUAAUCAGUAAAUGGCAAACGGAAGAGGCAAGGGGAAUUGAUGUACGCAUAUGAUUUUUUUCUUUGGCCAGGCUACAGUGGUAUUGUCCGGUGAUGCACAAAUUUUUCUACUUCUACAGAAAGAUGCUCUACACUCAGAUUUGGCUAAGCUUUGUGCGAAGAAGAAUUAUCACUCCUCUAUAAUCCAAAUCCUGGUCCGUCUUUAAAUUUCUUUCUUGAUCUCAUGCUGGAUGUCUCUUCAUGUAGACCUGUAUCUUGCGUAGGAUUUAAAGGCAUCAAAGUUGGAACCUCGGAUAGCUCUGGAGACUUUAAUGAUUGGAUCCCCUCUCUGAUUAGAGUAGAGUAA